UCNCAAAGGGAUGCGGCGUGUAUCAGGGA
rnacentral:piRNA from 1 species